AGCAGCCGCCACGGUAAUACGUAGGUGGCAAGCGUUGUCCGGAAUUAUUGGGCGUAAAGGGCUCGCAGGCGGUUUCUUAAGUCUGAUGUGAAAGCCCCCGGCUCAACCGGGGAGGGUCAUCGGAAACUGGGAAACUUGAGUGCAGAAGAGGAGAGUGGAAUUCCACGUGUAGCGGUGAAAUGCGUAGAGAUGUGGAGGGACACCAGUGGCGAAGGCGACUCUCUGGUCUGUAACUGACGCUGAGGAGCGAAAGCGUGGGGAGCGAACAGGAUUAGAUACCCGUGUAGUCCCUGUCUCUUAUAC
rnacentral:rRNA from 1 species